ACGGAGGAUCCAAGCGUUAUCCGGAUUUAUUGGGUUUAAAGGGUGCGUAGGCGGAUAAAUAAGUCAGUGGUGAAAGCCUGCAGCUUAACUGUAGAAUUGCCAUUGAUACUGUUUAUCUUGAAUGUAGUUGAGGUGGGCGGAAUAUGACAUGUAGUGGUGAAAUACUUAGAUAUGUCAUAGAACACCGAUUGCGAAGGCAGCUCACUAAGCUACGAUUGACGCUGAGGCACGAAAGCGUGGGGAGCAAACAGGAUUAGAUACCCUGGUAGUCCACGCCCUAAACUAUGAUCACUCGAUGUUGGCGAUACACAGUCAGCGUCUAAGGGAAACCAUUAAGUGAUCCACCUGGGGAGUACGACCGCAAGGUUG
rnacentral:rRNA from 1 species